AUUGAACGCUGGCGGCAGGCUUAACACAUGCGAGUCGAGCGGAGAUGAGGUGCUUGCACCUUAUCUUAGCGGCGGACGGGUGAGUAAUGCUUAGGAAUCUGCCUAUUAGUGGGGGACAACAUUCCGAAAGGAAUGCUAAUACCGCAUACGUCCUACGGGAGAAAGCAGGGGAUCUUCGGACCUUGCGCUAAUAGAUGAGCCUAAGUCGGAUUAGCUAGUUGGUGGGGUAAAGGCCUACCAAGGCGACGAUCUGUAGCGGGUCUGAGAGGAUGAUCCGCCACACUGGGACUGAGACACGGCCCAGACUCCUACGGGAGGCAGCAGUGGGGAAUAUUGGACAAUGGGGGGAACCCUGAUCCAGCCAUGCCGCGUGUGUGAAGAAGGCCUUAUGGUUGUAAAGCACUUUAAGCGAGGAGGAGGCUACUGAGACUAAUACUCUUGGAUAGUGGACGUUACUCGCAGAAUAAGCACCGGCUAACUCUGUGCCAGCCGCCGCGGUAACAC
rnacentral:rRNA from 1 species